UGGUGAGAGAGAGAGGCAAAGGGAGAAGCAGGCUCCACGCAGUGAGCCUGAUGCGGGACUCGAUCCCCAUCACGCCUUGGGCUGAAGGCAGGCGUUAAACCGCUGAGCCACCCGGGCUGCCCACUAUUGAGUCUCUUUUUAAAUUGUGUUUAUGCUUAACCAUUUCUUCUUUUUGUUGUUGUUGUUACAUAAACGGACACAUUUAUUACAGGCUAGCCAGGUUUCAAACAGUGAAGCUUCUACUGGUCUUUCAAUUCCUUCAAUAUUUUAUUUUUUUUAAGUAGGCUCCACACCCAACAUGGGGCUUAAACUCAUGGCCCUGGGAUUAAGAAUCACAUGCUACCACCUGAGCCAGCCAGGCGCUCCUCAAUUCCUUUAGUCUUCUGCUGGCUGAUUUCACAGUGGCAGGAGAAGUGGUGUUGAGGGUCCAGGCACUACUAACUACCAUUCUCAUGUGGGAACCAUGGUGCCACAACCCCACAGUUCUUCCAACUUCACAGAAUGAGUAAGUAUACUUGGCAUGCUGGCUUCCUUCAAUUUUUUUCACCAUUUUUCUGAGGGAGGCAUCAUAAUGGGGUGAGCGGGAUCCCAUAUUUAUCAAUGAUGCCUACCUUCUUGGUGUGUUUUACCAAGUCAUUGCAAACUAGAUCCCAGCCCAGAGAAUACCUUUUUAAAAAAAAUAGUAUUGCAUGGUACUAUAGAAACUAUAUCGCUUCUAUAUUCAAGGAUUAGUUGGCUAGUACACAGCCCUUUGAUUUCAAUAACCACUUUUCCUAUGGAUAGUAGGAAAAUUGCAGCUGGCACUAUUUGUGUCAUUAUGGUGCAUCAACAAGAAAAAAAAUGGCUCAGAGAAUCCAAUUUGCAAUAUUGGUUCAAAAUUAUAAUGUGUAGGAUUCAUGCUCAGUUUUGGGCCAUGUUUUCAUCUAUAAAACUCAAUUAAAAGGAUGAUAAGGCUGAUAUUCAAGAAUCAGAUAGUAGCUAAAGAGUGUCAUCUCUUCUUGUCUGAAUCAGUAAAGUAGAGCCAAAAUAUUUUUAAAAACUUCUAUAGGGACAUAACAUUUUAUGAUAGAACUUCACAGGGAAAAAUAGUUUAAUUUAGAUCAAAAUUUCACCAAACUGUUCAAAUGGAAAUAGAGGAGUGUUUUCCUCUUGUUCAAGAAUAGCUUCAGAGUAAGGAGAACAAAUGAGAAGUUAUUCUUUUUCUUUUUUUUUAAGUUAUUUUCUUUUUUAAGAUUUUAUUUAUUUACUCAUGAGAGACACACAGAGAGAGGCAGAGACACAGGCAGAGGGAGAAGCAGGCAAAACUCUCAGGCUACUCCCAGGUAAAAGUUAUAGAGACCACUCUAAACAAUCCACCCAACUCCAAACUCAAAAGACUUGAAGAGAAGCUGUAUUUCUGUGGAUGUUCUCAAGGUCCCUCUACAAUAUAAAUACAUCAAUCUAUAAGACUUUUUUAAAAAAAGAAAAGAAGGCAGGGAGUUUACUGACCAAUGUGGGACUUAAACGAUUUCAGAUUGUUACUUUUGUAGAUUACACAUUCAUUCAAAAAUCAAACAAAAUUUUAUUUUAUAUCUACUUUUUGUAGAAAGUGCCUAAGGACUGGGGAGCCCAGGUGGCUCAAUCAGCUAAGUGUCCAACUCUUGAUUUCAGCUCAGGCCAUGAUCUCAGGGUCCUAAAAUGGAGUCCUGAGUCAGGUUCUACACUGGCGGGGAAUCUGGCUUGAGAUUCUUUCUCUUCCUCUACCCCUCCCCCCAUGCUCUCUCACUUUCUCUCUUAAGUAAAAUAAAUAAAUCUUAAAAAAAAAAAAAGUGCCUAAGGAAGUAUAGUGUGCUUGAUGUUGAACAGGAAAAUAUAUUUCCUUUAAUUUGUGGUUCUGUACUUCACAUACACACAAGAAAUAGAAAUAUGUACACGUUUUGCAAAUUGUUAAACAUACCAACACACAAUACAAAACAACUAAUAUGCUGGAAAAAUAUUAUUAAGCUGAAAAAUCUAACAUUUAUUAUUUAUAUAGCAAAUUCUUCUUAAAUAGCCACCAUAGAAAUUUGCAGGUCCUUUUCCUUUUUCCUGGUCCAUAUAUUACUGAAUCAAAAUACUUUAUUUAGUUCUGUAGCGUCCAAUAAAGUAUACACUUCUCAAGGGUAUGGACAUAAUCAUAUAAAUCAGGUAAUAAUUCAAACUGUGUUGGGUAGAGAUUGAUGCCACAUACUCUAACAAGUCUUUUCUGAUCUCCCAGAUAAGGAUCAUACUAUUGAUGUUUUCAUAGUCUCAGCUGGUUCUUCAUGCCACAUAGUAUUAAAUGAUCUCCUAAUCACUAGUUUAAUAUGUUUCCCUGGAGAAUAUGUAAUUUCCCUAAGACACAGACUUCGCUCCCCCUCUCAAGAAUGGGUCCCAGUAUAAUGAAAUUCUUGGUUAAAGAUCAAUGAAUAAAUGUCAAACCACAGAAAACUUUAUAAAGAAAGGACUCAAAAAAAAAAUAAAGGACUCCAUAAUUUUUGUAAGUUGUCUUAUUAUGGAGAAGAGGAUGCAUACUACUGAGGAAGGGAUGAGUGAAUUUCAUGCAAUCAUAGUAAUUUCUCAUUUUGGUGUCCUGUGUUUCAAAAUCUUUUUAAACUAUGUAUAGUGACAGAUGUUAACCAGAAUUUUUGUGAUCAUUUCACAGUAUAUACAAAUAUCGAAUCAUUAUGUUGUACAUCUGAAGUUAACAUAAUGUUACAAGCCAAUUAUAACUCAGUAUUUUUUAAAAAGAAUUUAAGCUACAAGUCUCUCAUUGCUUUCACUUUAUCUUCUAUUUUGUUAAUUUCAUUUUCAUUCAUUUCGAAGUAUUUUCCAAUUUCUAUUAUGAUUUCUUCUUUGACCAUUGGUAACUAAUAGCGUGUCAUUUAAUUUCCACAUGAUUAUAAUUUCCAGAAUUUUCCUUGUGUUACCCUGUGGACUGAGAACAUACUUUGUAUGAUUUCAAUUAUUUUAAAUUUUUUGAGACUUGUUUUAUGGCCUAGUAUAUGGUCUAUUCUGAAUAACAUUCUAUGUGCACCUGAGAUGUCUAUUUUGCUAUUAUUGUGUGAAUGUUCUAUAGAUGUCAGUUAGGUCUAGUUGAUUGACAGUAUUAAGUGUCAAAUCUAGUUGUUUUACCCAUUAUUGAGACGAGGUAAUGAAGUCUGCAACUAUUAUUUUUUGAAUUCCAAUUGCCUUCUGUUCAAUCAAACACCCCUACCCAAGGUUCCUUAAACACAUCUGACACUCUUUGUCCACAGAUCUUUGCACUUGCUCUUUGCUUGACAUGCUCUCCUCUCAGAUACCUGCAUGAUUCCCUUGUUUUCUUCAGAUCUUUGCUCAAAUAUCCUUCUCAGUGAGGUCUUCUCUAAUCACUCUAUUAGAAAUUGUGACAUCUCAUUUCCUCUUUCCUGCCUGAUUUUUUUUCUCCAUAGCACCUGUCUCCAUUUGUCAUCAUGUAUAUAUUGUAAGAUAAUACUAUAAACAGUGUACUACCCAUUAUCUUUCCCCCAUUAGAAUGUACACUUCAAGAGCAUAGGGAUUUUUGUAUAUUUUAUUCCCCUGUAUUUCCAGCCCUAGAUCGAUGCCUGCCACAUAGUAGGCGCUCAAUGAAUGUAUGUUCCAUGAAUGAAUGAACAAAUGCCCUGAGAGCGGCUUGAGGAAACCAGUCAACUGGGCAGCAGACUAAGUUGGAGUCAUUGUCAAUCUCAAGUGGAUCCUAAAUAUCAAAUCAUUCUGUUACAAGACUCUGCAACUAUAAACAGUCAUUUUCUUAAAAUUUCAUUCAUGUUAUUAAAAUUAAAAUUACCCAUAUUAGCACUGACUCAGUUGGGUCAGCUUGUUGCUCCCUUCUAUUAUUAUUAUUAGCACACAGUAGUAUGCUAAGCACUGGGUAUGAAGUGGUAAGCCUAGAAUGACAAAAAUCCUUACCUUUAUGAAGCUUACAUUAUAGUUUUCUGAAAUUCACUGUGCAGAAGUCAGCACACCACUCUCACUAGUUUCAAGUAUCUUCUAGAUCAACUGAAAUUAGGUAGAAUUCUAGCAAAUGGUUUAAAUUGAACCCCAUCCAUUUCAUGCACAUAAAUCAGCUUUCAAAUACCACAGAAACCUAUCUUUAAGCACUACAGAUAACCUGAAAACUAGUUUGAAUAGGUGGCAGUGGAAUUGCAUCUAUAACAUUUGAAAGCUGAGUGCAAAUUAGCAGCAUCAAACUGCUGUCUGACAAAGGCGCUUCACAUGUUAUGUUUCAGCUACAAAUUCUCAGUGCUAAAACCUUUAAAAGCAUUUGUAUCAAUUAUUUUGCAGAAAUAUUUUGAUGUCAUUGUGGUUCAUUAUAAUGGUUUAAGUUAUUGCCAGUUUUCCCCCCAAAAAUGCCUAUUUCAAUAAUUCCUGGCACAUAUGAAACCAUAGCUAGAGUAAUUUUUCUAAUGGCUAAAAACGUUUUUAGUCUUUUGUCAGCAAGUACAGUAGUUAAAAUAUUCAACUGCAGAUUCUUUUUAUUCCAUCAGAGUACAGCCAAGUACCUGAGUAAUAGCUCAGAGGUUGAGACAGGACACUAUGCCAGUCAGCAGAAAAUCCUGAACCUAUCAUACGACAAGAGUCUAAUUGCUCACCUUUUUCAUUUGACAACCAGAAAGACUAUUUUGAGAAAACUUUUGUGGGUUUCUUUUUAAAGUGUUUCCAAGAUUAAUUUUAACAAGCACAACCAAGUGCUAGUUCCCUAUUUGAUUUUCCCACAAAAUUUGACCUGCUUGACUAAUAAGCAGUUGCACUGGAAAUCUAAGGAAUGACAGAAUAACAGUGAAGCAAAAUCAGUUUAAUUAUAGGAUAAAUUAAAAAUUGAAGACUGUCAGCUCAAGGCAAGUCAGCAAAAUUGUACCAUGGCUUGUUCAGAAUUCACAAAGCAAAAUGGAAAUGAUGCCAUGUGUCCCAUGUUCCUGAAGAACUUUGCAGAAGUACGAUUAUUAUGGGAACAUGCAUGUUUUAACCUGGGGCUCACCCUGGUAGUAUAAGAGUCAAAGUAGGCUACAAAUGGAGAUUACUUCCAGAACUUACAGUGACAUUCCUGGCUCCCCUCAGGGGGUCAAGGCACACACAGCAAUUGCAGAAGGUGAGGAUUAGGACCAUGCUCUUAAAUUUUUUGUCGCAGAACCGCCAUACUUCAAAAAAAUUAAUGGGGGCCACUUGGAACUUUUUGUUUAUGUGAAUUUUUAUCUGUUGAUAGUUACUAUAUUAGAAAUUAAAAUGAGUAAGUUCUAGGAAUACUCAUUAAUUUAAAAAAAUAAUAGAAACCUCAUACAUGGUAACACAACGUCUUUUUAUGACAAAUAACCAUAUUUUCUAAAGUAAAUUUUUCUCAUUGCAUUUCUUUUUCACUGCACCAUUUGGGGACAAGUGUGACAUUGUUUUACCUUUUUUUUGAUAUCCUUCAGAUCUAGUUCAGUCGACUUUAGGAUCAUGACCUGAGCUGAAAGGAAACGCUUAACCACCUAGGUACCCCUGGUCUAGUUCAACCGAAAACAGCUAGACACUCCUGUCUGCUUCUGCAUUGCAUCUAUUGUCAUAUGCUAUUUUGUUGAAGUAUAGGAAGAACACACAGGUGUGCUAUAAAAGGGAGGGGUAUUUUAAUAACAUUUUCAGGUAAUUGUGACUAGUUUAGUACUAACCAACACUCAGCAAAUGGCAGAUUUUUUUAAAGAGUGGUUGCAAUGUAAAAUCUGAAAUGCUAAUCAGAGACAUUUUCAUACUGAUACAUUAAAACCCAUUAGUUUACCUUACAUUUCCAAUGAUCUUUUCGCAUUCCUUGCUUUGUAAUAUUAUGUGUUUGGUCAUCUGAAAAUAGGGCUCCCUCAGGCCUAUCCAAAUGUUGACACAUUUAAUUGUAUAAAACAAUACAAUCUGAUCUGGUGAUCUGUUCACAGCAUCAAUGAUCGAAUCAGAAAAGUAAGUUGUAGGAAGCUGUCAGGCUCACAGCAAUGGAUACAAGUUUUCUAAAAUUAUAAUUUUUACUUAAAACUUCAAAUUUUCAUUGGCAACAUUGUCAGUUGUUUCCCUUGAAGUAGCAGUAGUCUGGUGAAGUUAUCAGAAAAUGUCAGCCAGGGGUGCCUCAAUGGCUCAGUUGGUUAAGUGUCUGCCUUCAGCUCAGGCCAUGAUCC
rnacentral:lncRNA from 1 species